UUACGGCCAUAUUACGUUGUUACACAGGUUCUCAUCCGUUCACCGAAGUUAAGCCACGCUGAAACUGGUCAAUAUUUAGAUGGAUGACCGCUCGGGAAUACCAAG